CCCCCUCCCCCUUGUCCGGCUGGCAUCGCAGCAAAAUAACAAAGCAGCAUGAACAGCCUUUGCCUCCGGAUGUACUACUAUGGCAGAUGCAGCAGAAGUUGUAAGGACAGUCUAGAUGAAAGGCACGCAACUGCCAGAAGUUCUGAGUCUUCGAGUACCUGACUGCUGCUACAGGCUCCUUAGGAACUGACUCCGAAGAAGGACUCCAAAUCAACACCAAGACAUCCAACAUGCAAACACAGAACAGACAGCCUUACCCAGAGUGCAUGGCAGCAGUGGAGUCAGAUGUGGAUAGGAUUGUUUAUACAUGAGCAGUUCUACAACAUAUUUCCCAAAAGUUAACAUUGUGGUGUGCCAUGUGCCUCAGGUGGUCAGUAUUGAUACAUGUAGAGACCAUAGGUUACUGUAUUUUCCCUUAUUUUGACAAACAUUUAGAUUUGUUUUUGUGUCUGAUGGUUGUCAGAUGAUUCGACACAAGCUAUUAAGGUCUUAUUACUAUAUUAGCCAUACCAGAAUGUGUACUGUAAAUGUAUUCCAGUUCCAAUCUC